ACAUCAGUAGCAUAGUGGUUAGUGCAAUCUGCCGGAAACAGAAAGACGCGAGUUGAAUUCCCGUACGAUGUC
rnacentral:tRNA from 1 species